CACUCUCCGGCCCGAGGACAAGGUUUGGGGGACAAGCACGCACGCAUUUUCGCACACUGGACUUUUUCUUACCGUUUUCCAAGUAUUAGUGGUUUCCUGCAAGACGCACCUUCCCGAAAUAGUGCGGUGCUUUAGCGUGACGUUCCUCCCGUGCCAAGCGAUGUAUUAAACUUGGACCUUCUAAGCUACCCAGUUCUUGAUCGCGCCAAGCUCUUCAUAGGCUCGUUAUAGCGUGGCUCGUUAGCAGACAAACAAACAGCUAUCCUAAGUCCUUUGAGGAAAACGCCCACGCAGACUCCCCAGAUGUCAAUUCAAAGAAUGUCGACGACCUUUUAGCUCCUCUCUUUGGAAAACCUUGCAAUAGAAGGAGGAUGGACCCCACCCAGAAACUGGUUCUGAUGUUGAGACGGAUGACGCCACCAUCACACCAAGAAUGCUGAUUCUAAAUUAAAUUAUGUAAACUUCAAGCAACAUGAUACUGAACAUUAGAAUAGUGAGAGGAGAAGGACGUAAAUAUAAACAAAUUUUAAAAUCCUUAUAUUUUAGUCAAAUUAUAGAGAAAUAAUCAUUUUAAAAUAACAUAAAAGGGGGC